rnacentral:tRNA from 1 species
AGCAGCGUGGCCUAGUGGAAGGAGCCCAGGGCUGGGAGUCAGAGGGCCUGGGUUCUAAUCCCAGCUCUGCCA